CCUACGGGUGGCAGCAGUGGGGGAUAUUGCACAAUGGGGGGAACCCUGAUGCAGCGACGCCGCGUGGAUGAAGGAGUGCUUCGGCAUGUAAAGCCCUAUCGGCAGGGAAGAAGCAAGACGGUACCUGACUAAUAAGCCCCGGCUAACUACGUACCAGCAGCCGCGGUAAUACGGAGGGGGCGAGCGUUAUCCGGAUUCACUGGGUGUACGGGGAUCGUAGACGGCCAUGCAAGCCAGGGGUGAAAGCCCGGGGCCCAACCCCGGGACUGCCCUUGGAACUGUGCGGCUAGAGUGUGGGAGGGGCAGGCAGAAUUCCAGGUGUAGCGGUGAAAUGCGUAGAGAUCAGGAGGAACACCGGUGGCGAAGGCGGCCUGCUGGACUGAGACUGACGCUGAGGUUCGAAAGCGUGGGGAGUGAACAGGAUUAGAUACCCGUGUAGUC
rnacentral:rRNA from 1 species